GAAUUUUGCAAUAAAGAGUUCGUGAUCUAAGCCCGUCAAAACUAUUCACCUAGAAAUAUAAGUAACUUAGUGGAAUAAAGAGAUUACAGAAAAGAAUACACCCUUAUAUAUCUUUGGGGGGAUAAUUUUAUAUAUAUAGAAAACUUGCCAAGAUAAUCAGAGUUUCUGUACCCUUAAUAUUUGGCAUAAUUUGCAAGAAUACAAGAAACCCAAUAUUCACACGUUACUGUUAACUCCAGAUUUCCUUUAAUUUCCACCAGUUUACCAGGUUUUCUACAGAAUACCUGAGCACCAGAGUACUUUUCUGGUGUCCUGUAGAAUGAUCUUCAUUUGGGGUUUAUCUGUUACUUUCUUUUCAUGAUUAGACUGGGGUUAUGGGGUUUGGAAUGGUUACUGUAGGAGUGAAGUGACUUCCUCAUCACAUAUCAAGAGAUGUAUCCACAUGACAUUAGCGGAGAUGUUAACCAUCACUUUGUUAAGACAGGGUUUGCCAGAUUUCUCCGUCAUAAAGGUACUACUAUUUUCUUUUUAAUACUGUGUUCUUUGGAAGCACAGGCAUACGUUGGAGAUAACUGCCGGUUCAAUUCCAGACCACCACAGUAAAGCAGGUAUCACAGUAAAGCGAUUCACACAAACUUACUGGCUUGCUAGUGCAUAUAAAAGUUAUGUUUACCCUAUACCAAAGUCUAUUAAGUGUGUGAUAUUAUGUCUAAAACGACAAUAUAUAUACCUUAAGUCUAAAAUACUCUUAUUUUUAAAAAUACUAACCAUUUUCUGAUGGUGCAGGAUUGCCACCAAUCUUCUAUCUAAAAAUGCAGUAUCUGAAACUCAAAGCACAAUAAAUGCCUGAAAGUCAUGAAAUCAAGCAUACUCUCAAUAAGGGGGACUAUGUCUCAGUUCCUGGAGAGGGGAGUAUCUACAUAUAUUAAGCAGGUAUCCAGUUUUCCCAGCACCAUUUGUGAAGACUACUGAAUUACUUAAACACUUUGCUGGAAACUGAAUUUGCAUUUAUACUCUCAUACAGACUCAAAACAACAGCAUAGGAAGAAUGCAAGGGAAUAUACUCCAUUCUCAUAUCCUACCACUAUUUUACAUCCAAUAAGGAGAUCAACUAUGCUGGAAAAGACAACUGAACUGACCCAGUCUUGCUCUGAAAAGCUGAGUAAUGGUCUUCAUAGGGCUGAGUAAAUGGGCUUCCCAACUGGCUCAGUGGAUUCCCAACUGAAUCCACCUGUGAUGCAGAAAAUGCAGGAGAUGCCACGGGGUCCAUCCCUGGAACAGGAA